CUUGAAUAAUUAUAAGAGGUCCAGCCUGCCCAGUGACUUUGUUCAACGGCCGCGGUAUCCUAACCGUGCGAAGGUAGCGUAAUCACUUGUCUUUUAAAUGGGGACUUGUAUGAAUGGCAUCACGAGGGUUAUACUGUCUCCUUUUUCUAAUCAGUGAAACUAAUCUUCCCGUGAAGAAGCGGGAAUAAACAUAUAAGACGAGAAGACCCUAUGGAGCUUUAAACUCAAUAACAAAUACUAACCUUACAUCAACUUUCAGAAGAUCCACCUUAAUUUUAGUAUUAUGAUUAUUAGUUUUAGGUUGGGGUGACCGCGGAGUAAAAAUUAACCUCCACAUUGAACGGGACCUGUCCCUGAGCCAAGAACUACAGCUCAAAGCACCAACAAAUUGACAUUAAUUGACCCAAUAUUUUGAUCAACGAAC
rnacentral:rRNA from 1 species